ACACCAGAAUGGAAAAUUGUCCCAAGAUUCUCAUUCUGGGUCUCAUUCUCUGAUUCUGAUUCCAGUGUUAAUGCAGCAGGUGAGAAAAAUAAAUUUACACCAGAAUGGAAGAGAAAAUUGUCCCAAGAUUCUCAUUCUGGGUCUCAUUCUCUGAUUUUGGAUUCUCAUUCUGGGUUUCAUUCUCUGAUUUUGAUUCCAGUGUUAAUGCAGCAGGUCAGAAAAAUAAAUCCUGACACCAGAAUGGAAGAGAAAAGUGACCUCCACCUCACUGCCUGCAGAAUCCCAGCCAAACC